UUACCUGUGUCCGAGUGGUUAAGGAGAUUGACUAGAAAUCAAUUGGGCUCUGCCCGCGUAGGUUCGAAUCCUGCUGACUGCG
rnacentral:tRNA from 16 species